CGAAGUUCCUGAAACUGUUGAAGAAGUAGAAAUUCAAGUUGAAAAUGAGAACGCACAAGAGUAGAGGGCGUACAACGUUGAAGGAAUUAUACUAACUUCCUCUUUGGCACCGUGUCAAAGUUUCAAGAAAUGAUGACGAUCAAUCUAUUGGCCCAGAAGCAUGUCUUCUAUCCGGUUACUUAGGUAUAGUUGGACGUAAUGUUAAUCUAUUACCGAUCAAUUAUGAGUCAUAGCGCGAAAUGUCUACUAGUAACAAAAAUCAGGCGUUGGAUUUUAUUAAGGAGAAAUUUUCUUUAGAGGUAUCUGACGAUUAUAUGAAGCAAGCGUUACGGAAGAGAUAUAGAGAUCACAAGAGCGCAUUAAAGAAGAAAUACUUCAAGAAUGAUCUCAGCCUUGAAGAGAAGCUAUAAACAGUUCCACCUGGAAUGCUCAGGUACCAAUGGGAAGAUGUUAGAUUCUGGAGUUUACAAAACGGACAGGACCGAAAGCAUGUUGUGUUGUUAGCAGACAACAACAAAAGUUUACGCACUCGGCUGGAUCAAAAAGCUUUGCUUGUAUAGCUAAUGAGGAGGAAAAUACAUCUGGUUCUAAAGUUGGAUGAAUCUAACUUUUCGACGUGACACAUACAAAGAAAGAUGUCACUCCUAUGACUGCUGAAGCUGCAGAAAUUAUGAUAUGGUCAGGUGCGCUGUCAAGGAUCAUUCGUUACUCCCACCAAAUAUUUUGGGUCCAGUUCAUCUCAGUACAUAUUGUCACAGUCUCAGUCUCAGUCUUCCUAAUUAGAAGUUAGUCGUUUAAAACAAAAGUUGGCUGAAAUGGAUCAACAAAUGACUAACAUGAAAGUCGAAAAUGAAGUAAGGGAAGCAGAGAUAACAGCAAUAGAAGCACAGAGAGAAGCAUCGAUAGCACAGAGAGAAACAUCAUAUCAGCAAAGAUGUCAAGAAUUUGAAAAAUAACUUGAUGAUAUAAUGCAGAUGUUACAGAAAAUGCAACCUCAGAAUCCACUAUCAUAGUCUUAUUUAUAUUAUCAGCAGAUUGUUAAUAUUGUUGAA